GAGUAUUUCUCCGUAUCAAAUUGUAGGUCGUUUUGGCAAUUCUAAGUUCAUAAGUUUUGCUAUGUAUCCAUAUAUAUAUAUAUUAUGUUAAAAGCUAUAAAUUUAGAAAUAUCGAAAUGAGUUCCAAUUUGAAACAGAGUAAACAGUAAUUGAAAAUAUAGUUAACUUUAGAUUCGUUCUAAGUCAAAUUGUCUUUAAUUUUGACUAUAUUUUUUAAUAUCCAAUAAAUACACUACGAAAAUAUAUUUGGUUAUGAUUCUAAUAUAAGUUAUUGGACCUUGAACUUCACUCCUUAAAAUAAUACUACUCCCCUAUCUCAAACUAUAGGUCGUUUUGGUUUUUCUAGAUUUAUAAAUAUUAUUUUGCAUCUAGACAUAAGGUAUAUCUAAGUGCAUUAAAAAAUCUAAGAAUCUAAAAAUGCUAAAAUGGUCUAUAAUUUAUAAUGGAGGAAGUAUUAUAAUUUGGAAGGAAGAGUACUCUAGACUCUACUCUCACAUCUACUUGCUCCUCGUGGCAUCCUAACUCUAAUCCCGGCAC
rnacentral:lncRNA from 1 species